GCCUCUUGGUCUGGCUGAAUAUCUUCUAUGAAGAUCACUUCCCCGUCCAUCAGGGAGACAAUUCCUGGAGAUUCGUGUCAUGACUGUUUCUCUCUCCAAACCUGUUUCUGCUGGAUUGCGCAGGUCUGAUGACCCUGGAGCUCUUGGCUUCCAUACGUGUCUCAGACAGGAGCCAGCUGAGGAGGUGUGUCAUGCAACUUGCCCCCCCAGCCCUCCCCUUCUAAGGAACCCCCACACCUGCUCUGUCUUCCUGCUACAGUCUCUGAGAAAAGCCCUUUCAUCUGUCAAGAACUACAAAAGUCAUUCUUUAAGUGCUAAAUAAACAAUGAAACAGACACAAAGUUAAAGUUACCUGAUCCAAAAAGGAGUGAAGCCUAGACCCCAGCCCACUGACUCAGUCUCUAAGACCCCUCACUCAAAUCUUCAAUCAACAGUGGAGAUGGCUGUGAGCUCUUCUGAUUCCAGAUGACAAUACUCCUCCCUUUAAUUCCUUGAUAUGUUUAAUUAUGGUCUCUGGCUGCUCUUGAGUCGAAGACAGAUUCUUGUCCUGUUUGCUGCCCUCUGUAGCCUGUGAGCAGAACCAGAAGGGACACUCUCACAGCCUGUUCGCCACGGAAUCCAGGAGGCAGGUCCAUUUUGGUGGCUGUCUCCACAACAUGGCUUUUUCCCCUUGAAGACCAUCAGAAGAGCCUGUAUCUCCGCAUCUGCGGAAAUCGUCUUUGCCAUGUAAUGUGCCAUAACCAUGGGAGUGACAUCGCAUCACAUCCCAGGGCCACCGCUGAGGAGGAGGGUGAGGAUCUUGACCCUUAUCUUAGAAUUCUGCCCUGCCUGGCUUCCACUUGUCCUCUUCUAAAUCUAUCUUAACUCAUUCCUUUGGUGCCUGUUUUUACUGCCUUAAUUUUGGCAAUAAAGGGAGGAAUAAAAACACAUCUUUUUUUUCUUUUUUUGAAUUCUCAUUACAUCCACACACAAGAAAUGUGUCACAUGAAGGAAGUGUAUUUAGAAUACCAGUUUUCCUAUUUGGUUCAUGAUAUUUUUCCAGGGUAAAAUUGCCAACAGAAUUUGGAAGCCCAAAGCAGGACAUGAUAUAAAUUAAUGCUGGUGAUCUGUAAAUUAUAUUUUAUUUCAUAAAAUGGUAAAUUUUCCCCUUUAGUCUGGUCAAUUUUAUGCAAUUUGGCAUCACAUUUUAUAAACGUAUUACCCUUUUGAACAUUUACUGAACUGAAUGCACAAAGAGAAUUAUAAAAGAAAAUCUGGAAGCA
ensembl:lncRNA LINC02693 long intergenic non-protein coding RNA 2693